rfam:Murray Valley encephalitis virus RNA.
AGUGGCCCAAGCUCGCCGAAGCUGUAAGGCGGGUGGACGGACUAGAGGUUAGAGGAGACCCCACUCUCAAA